rnacentral:rRNA from 1 species
UAUGUCUGGUGACUAUAGCAAGGAGGUCACACCUGUUCCCAUGCCGAACACAGAAGUUAAGCUCCUUAGCGUCGAUGGUAGUCGAACUUACGUUCCGCUAGAGUAGAACGUUGCCAGGCAGU